GCAUCCCUUUUAUCUAACACUGACAUUUAAAAACUUUUCUUUUACCGUUAUUGACAGACUUGCAGCUGCGUGGGCCACGACUGGACAUGGUAGACAAAUCAGUUUUCCACUGAGAUUUAAAGACCUUUCUACUCUCACACAUUAGAAAAGUAAUCAUCAUCCACAAGUGCAAUAUGCCAGCCUGAUUCCCCGAGAGGAAACGCUUUUCAUCGACCCUGACGAGUGUGACGCUGAGAUGGACCGAUCCAUAAGGAGUCACGAUGCCAGUGGGUGUCUUUUACCAGAGGGAUGUUCAAUCAAUACGGAUACUUGCGUUCGCUUGGGUGAGCUUCACCAGCCUCGGCAUUCAGUCUCUCCGGUCGACACAACAGCUACCGCCUGCCUACAGCUGCCUAGGGAUUCUUCCAUCUUCACCAUUUUCCACUUUGUGAUUUUCCUCCCUCUUUAUUAAGCUGUUCUUGUGCCUGGCUUUGUCGUACUGUCUGCUUUUGGAUCCAUUUUGAGGAGAGUUGAUUCCUAUGAUGUUUUAUAUAAUAUACACAAAGGAGAAAUUGGGUACAGAGCUGAUUUCUGAUGUUACACAACUAUGUGUGUGGAGACGCUUUUGUUAAGGCACAUACCAAAACAUGGUUUCAUUUAGAUGUACACGUUUGCCUUCAGAACUAUCAGAAGAUGGGUACACUGUGGUCAUACAGGGAUGGACACGGUCAGCAACAAUACUCAGAUCUUCCAGCUCAGAGGAGUUCACGCAGGCGUGCGUGGCCAAGAAGUCCAGUUUUUCGACAAGAAUGGCCAGUUUCUGGGAGCUCUCGUGGGGCUGCUCCAGCGCCCGGAACACGGUGGCCCCGAUGAUGAGGUA